UGGGGAAUAUUGCACAAUGGGCGCAAGCAUGAUGCAGCGACGCCGCGUGGGGGAUGACGGCCUUCGGGUUGUAAACUCCUUUCGCUAGGGACGAAGCUUUUUGUGACGGUACCUAGAUAAGAAGCACCGGCUAACUACGUGCCAGCAGCCGCGGUAAUACGUAGGGUGCGAGCGUUGUCCGGAAUUACUGGGCGUAAAGGGCUCGUAGGUGGUUUGUCGCGUCGUCUGUGAAAUUCCGGGGCUUAACUCCGGGCGUGCAGGCGAUACGGGCAUAACUUGAGUACUGUAGGGGUAACUGGAAUUCCUGGUGUAGCGGUGAAAUGCGCAGAUAUCAGGAGGAACACCGAUGGCGAAGGCAGGUUACUGGGCAGUUACUGACGCUGAGGAGCGAAAGCAUGGGUAGCGAACAGG
rnacentral:rRNA from 1 species